AGUGAACGCUGGCGGUAGGCCUAACACAUGCAAGUCGAACGGCAGCACAGGAGAGCUUGCUCUCUGGGUGGCGAGUGGCGGACGGGUGAGGAAUACAUCGGAAUCUACUUUUUCGUGGGGGAUAACGUAGGGAAACUUACGCUAAUACCGCAUACGACCUACGGGUGAAAGCAGGGGACCUUCGGGUCUUGCGCGAUUGAAUGAGCCGAUGUCGGAUUAGCUAGUUGGCGGGGUAAAGGCCCACCAGGGCGACGAUCCGUAGCUGGUCUGAGAGGAUGAUCAGCCACACUGGAACUGAGACACGGUCCAGACUCCUACGGGAGGCAGCAGUGGGGAACAUUGGACAAUGGGCGCAAGCCUGAUCCAGCCAUACCGCGUGGGUGAAGAAGGCCUUCGGGUUGUAAAGCCCUUUUGUCGGGAAAGAAAUCCAGCUGGCUAAUACCCGGUUGGGAUGACGGUACCCAAAGAAUAAGCACCGGCUAACUUCGUGCCAGCCGCCGCCGUAA
rnacentral:rRNA from 1 species